rnacentral:rRNA from 1 species
UGGGGAAUCUUGGACAAUGGGGGCAACCCUGAUCCAGCGACGCCGCGUGGGUGAAGAAGGCCUUAGGGUUGUAAACCCCUUUCACCGGGGAGGAUGAUGACGGUAGCGACAGAAGAAGCCCCGCCUAACUCCGUGCCAGCAGCCGCGGUAAUACGGAGGGGGCAAGCGUUGUUCGGAUUUACUGGGCGUAAAGGGCGCGUAGGCGGACGGUCAAGUCAGAGGUGAAAGGCCCGGGCUCAACCUGGGACGUGCCUUUGAAACUGAUUGUCUUGAGUGCGGAAGAGGGUGACGGAAUUCCCAGUGUAGAGGUGAAAUUCGUAGAUAUUGGGAAGAACACCGGUGGCGAAGGCGGUCACCUGGUCCGCAACUGACGCUGAGGCGCGAAAGCGUGGGGAGCAAACAGGAUUAGAUACCCCCGUAGUCC